GAUAUAGUAUGGUGUGGUGGGUGGGUCACGUUGCCGUUGUAGAAGUCUCUUCAUGGCAGUCGGCUGGCUCUAGGGUGUGGGCAUGCUGCGUGGGUGCUGGCGGAGACUUCUUUGUCAUGCCCGCGCGGAUCGUCCGGGGGCAGCGGGACUCCCACCGCAUGUCACAGCGUCUGAGCCCCUUCGCCUCCCCUCUCCUCACUGCGCGUCCCAGGCCUAGCAUGAGGAUGUGUAGGUGGUUUCAUGUUACUGGAGAUCUUGCAACUAGCUUUAAAAGCACAAGCUUGAGAGAAAAAUGCUUUGGGUUCUUCAGUGUCAUUUUGUGUUUGAGCAUGCGUGUGCCCAAGCUUCCCCUGGAUCUGUGAAGCACCGAAGCAGCUACCUGCAGCCCAGCAAGGCCAAGCAGGCCGGUCCCUGCAGAUCACUUGCGCAGCGUGCCCUCCAGCGGUCACUGGGCAAGACAGCACUCCCAAGCAUGAGGAUAACUGUUUACGAAUCUUUGAAGGGUCCUUUUGUAACUGUCAACAAACACCACGAAACCACUGAGGUGGCUGAGUAUUUUGCUGCUUUUUUACUGAAAGGAGCUGAGGCUUUUGGACAUCAGUCAGCUGAUCAGUCUGAACAGCACAGUACCAUGUUAGUUGGUAUAAUAGCAGAAGUGGCCUUUGGAGAAAAUGUUUAGGUGGAUGGAAAAGCUAGCAACUGGGUGUGUAAAGCAGCCCUUAACAUGACCACUAUGAAUCUCAGCAGUGAACUUCGACAAGAAAAAACAAAUAUGUUGUAAAGUGAUAUUGUGAUACUGGUCUGAUCGGGCAAAACCACUGCUGAUGCCUACCUAUGAUUGGAAGAGAACAUAGGCCACAGACUUUGGAAUGCUGACCUCAUAUUAGGGGAGGUGAAAAGAGCAGUUACUCAGUUUGUGGAAUGUCUGAAGAUCUGCAGAUACAAAGCACUACAUAAUUGCAAAGGACUUGAAUUCAGAGCUGUAUUAUGUCACCUUCCCUUUUCCUUAUAUCAGUCCAUACUGUGACCUGAAUAAAUCUGCUUGUAAUUAAAUUUAAACUUGAUUGCUAAAUAGGAGUAGAAGAUUUGGUGUUUAUUUUUUUUAACCACAGGCUGUCUAAUUCACUGAAACUAUAACUCCAGCCUGAUUUCUCCCUGCAGGAAAGAGGUACCGUUUAAAUUUUGGGUUUUUUUAUUAAGUGUUAAUGAAGUGUUAAUUGAUUAAGUAGUCUUUGCUAAUCCUGUGAAAAACAGUCAUGAUGUGUCAGUUCUGUGCUGUUUGUGUUUGUAUCAAAAUGUGGGAUUUAAUUCCCUCUAAACAUUAAAUUGCUAGUUCAUGUAUUCUGGGAUGAUAUAAGGUUUGAAAACUGGCAUAAUAAGGCCAGAAAUCAGGCAGCUUUUCUCCUAUCAGGAUUUCAGGUCAAAAAUAUCUGUUUCACCUUACAUUGGACUUGUUUUAUGCCUGUGAAUAGAGACCAGAUUAUGUCAUUUGUGGGGAUUCUCUUCCUUGCAACUGUUGACCACUGAUGCCUCAUAAUCACUGCAGCAGUAUUUUCCUCAUAGCUUCGCUUGGUGGGGUAGCUGUACAUUCAUUCUGGUUUGUGUGCUAUCCGUCUUUCCCCUCCUCCUUCCUUGUUAGAGGUAAUGGAAUGAAAAUUCACAUCUCUGCUGAUAUUUUAAGUAAGUUUUGUAAAUGGAGACAAGACAAAACAAAUCAAUUGGUUCCUUCUACUUCUAGAGCCAUCAGGCAAAAAGUAUUGGAGAUUGAUAUCUCAGUCUCAUCAGUUCUGCUUUCAGACAAUAUGCAGAGGUUUUGGAAACAAACAAAAAUCCUUCUCUCCUGCUGUAUGAGAGAUAAAAAAUGCUUUUAUUUUCUCUUCCCAUCUCUGAAUUGGCUGGUGCCAAAACUAGCUCUGUGGCUUCUUUAUCUGACUUCUGUGUUAAAAUUAAGGACAGAAGCAACAAAUUUGGUUUACAGUGUUGGUAAGAUUAAGGAGUCUGAUUUACCAUUUGUGGGUCAAAAAGGAUGAUAAUGUAUGAGUGUCAAAACUAGACAAUCUUUGAGGUCCCUUCCAAUCCAAGCCAUUCUGUGAUUUUUAGGAUAUUAAAAAGUCUUUUGUGGCCUAUAAUUCUUGGCAUAUAUGUGUCUCUGAUUCUUUCAGAUUAAUCUUUGAUUCAGAGAAUGUGUUCAGAUGACCCAUGUAGUCUCUCUGAGUCUUAUUUUCAUUAGACCAAGUAUGUGUAUGUACAGUUGUGUUAUGUCUUAUUACAAGAAAAUAAAUGUUUUGG
rnacentral:lncRNA from 7 species